GAACGGGAAAGUGGAGCAAUCCAUGAGUAAAGUGGCGACCGGGUGAGUAACACGUGACUAACCUGCCCUUGAGUGGGGGAUAACCUCGGGAAACCGGGGCUAAUACCGCAUAACAUCGUAAGAUCAAAGGAGCAAUCCGCUGAAGGAGGGGGUCGCGGCUGAUUAGUUAGUUGGUGAGGUAACGGCUCACCAAGACGAAGAUCAGUAGCCGGCCUGAGAGGGCGCACGGCCACACUGGAACUGAAACACGGUCCAGACUCCUACGGGAGGCAGCAGUGGGGAAUUUUGCGCAAUGGGGGAAACCCUGACGCAGCAACGCCGCGUGGAGGAUGAAGUCCCUUGGGAUGUAAACUCCUUUCGAUCGGGACGAUUAUGACGGUAUCGGAAGAAGAAGCACCGGCUAACUUUGUGCCAGCAGCCGCGGUAAU
rnacentral:rRNA from 1 species